AUAUUCAUAUAAAUCAUUCUUCACAUUUCACUUAAGAUGAUGCCAAUCCAAUUUGUGUAGCACAAGUUAAAUCCAGAUAAAUUUUUUCUUAUACUUGUAUUUUUUAAAUAGGCAAAUGUAGAAGCUAGGCCUCUUAAAACAUUAUGAAACAAAGAGUAAUAACGAUAGAAUACAUAAUUUAUUUUAAUGAGAAGCCUCUGGAUAUAGUUUAUAUUUUAAUAACGAUUUUUAAACUCAGAUCGAACUAUGCGGUGCUCCAAUUAAAAGAAGUAUCGAAGAACGAAUAUUUGGCGCACUCUAGCAAAACCGGUCACCAGGCUGGUCGGUCAUGUUAGCGGCGUUAGGUAUCUCGAAGUGCCAGAGCCUACCUACGGAGUUGACCUUAUACUUCUCACAAAGGAACUCAUUGGCAAAAGCGUUCUCCACUUUGCGGUUAACGUCAUGAAGGAAGACGUGAGUCGUGCCAUCACCUUUCCGGUUACGUGCCAUGAUGGCCGAGGAAAAUAUCGCCGCCAUCCUUCCUGGCGCCUCUGGGAAGUACCCUUUUGGUGCGUCCACCAUGAUCAGAUCCCACUCGGUAUCAUAGAACUCAUCAGGGAGAGAAGUCAACGCCAAGGGACACUUUUCGUUGUAGCGGAUCGGGAAAGCUUUAGCUGGUAAACACAUGGGUUCGUUCUUGUAAGUCGAGAGAAGGCGGCCGGCCUCAGAAAGGUGGGUCCGGUACUGAACAUGGUGGGCCCUGAGGGAUGGGGCGUCCUUGAGGACGGCCUCUAUCCACUCAGGAUCCUCUUCCAAGAACACAGUUGUGCCACCUGGAUUGAGGGAGGCCCACAUGAGGGAGUCGCGGCCGAGGCCAAAGACUAGAAAGUUACAAGGGAGACGCUCCUUGAGGACGUUUAAAGAGAUCGAGAUCUCCUCGAAAGAUUGUUGAGGGACGGUGUGUGAAGUGGCGUAGUGGACGAUGGAUUGGAGUUGGAUUGGGGUGGCUGUGUAUUUGGCUAUAGACGCAGCUGUGUUCUUAGCCGUGGAGCAGAGUGACAAGGUGUUGUCCGUAGCUCGGAUGAAGCUUGUGAUGAGCAUUGCGCCACCUAUAAGACCAGCUAGAGCCACAGCGAGGAACCAUGGCCGCUCUAGAAGCGUUUGCUUUGCACCUUUAGACUUGUCUUGAAUCAUGUUUGGUUUGCUUUUUGGGGUUUGGCGAGAGAGGCUGAUGAGUAUAUGGUUAUACAAGGUGAAGAGAUCGGAUGAGAAAGUGGAGAAAUAAUGCUAAUGGUAGAGUCAACGAAUGUGAAGCACGUCCGUCUCAAUCAUUAAUGGCACGUAUGAUUGAUCGAUCCUCGUUGUUCUUUUAAUCUAAUUUACUCACUUCUCUUAAAUAUAGAUCUCAACUGAUCAAAUAUAGUUUAUUUCCAUUUUAAUGAAAAAAGUUUUAAAAGGG